rnacentral:rRNA from 1 species
UAGGGAAUAUUGGACAAUGGAUGAGAGCCUGAUCCAGCCAUGCCGCGUGCAGGAAGAAGGCGUUAUGCGUUGUAAACUGCUUUUGCCAGGGGAUAAAAGACUCUGCGGAGUUUAUUGAAGGUACCUGGUGAAUAAGCCACGGCUAACUACGUGCCAGCAGCCGCGGUAAUACGUAGGUGGCAAGCGUUGUCCGGAUUUAUUGGGUUUAAAGGGUGCGUAGGCGGCCCUGUAAGUCAGUGCUGAAAUAUCCCGGCUUAACCGGGAGGUGGCAUUGAUACUGCAGGGCUUGAGUACAGAUGAAGUAGGCGGAAUUGACGGUGUAGCGGUGAAAUGCAUAGAUAUCGUCAAGAACACCGAUAGCGAAGGCAGCUUACUAAGCUGUAACUGACGCUGAGGCACGAAAGUGUGGGGAUCAAACAGGAUUAGAUACCCUCGUAGUCCCUGAGCGGGCUGGCAAG